GGGAGGCUGAGGCAGGAGAAUUGCUUGAACCUGGGAGGCAGAGGUUGCAGUGAGCUGAGAUGGCACCACUGCACUCCGACCUGGGUGACAGAGCGAGAAUCUGUCUCAAAAAAAAAAAAAAGCGUAAUUAAAAGAGUGUAAUUGGAUUGUUUGAAACACAAAGGAUAAGGGCUGGAGGUGAUGCAUACCCCAUUUACCCUGAUGUGAUUAUUACACAUUGCAUGCCUGUAUCAACAUAUCUCAUGUAAGCCGUAAAUAUACACACCCACUAUGCACCCACAAAAAUUAAAAAUUAAUUUUUUUUUAAGAGUUAGGGACAGAUGCCUGGGCGCAGACUCACACUUGUAAACCCAGCACUUUGGGAGGCCAAGGUGGGCGGAUCGCGAGGUCAGGAGUUUGAGACCAGCCUGGCCAACACAGUGAAACCCCAUCUCUACUAAAAAUACAAAAAUUAGCUGGGCAGGAGGCUGAGGCAGGAGAAUUGCUUGAGCCUGGGAGGUGGAGGUUACAGUGACCUGAGAUCAUGCCACUGCACUCCAGCCUGGGUGACAGAGGUAGACUGUUUCAAAAAAAAAAGUUAGGGACAGACAAAAACUUUAUUAACUGAUAAAGGACAUUGAUGAAGAAAAUUACACUAACAUACUGUAUGAUGAAAAACUAAAUGCUUUUUUUCAAGUAUCAGGAACAAAGCAAGGAGGUAUAUUUUCAUCACUUCCACUCAACGUAGCACUGGAGUGAGAUCAAAAAAAUUACCAAGGUUGGAAGGAAAGAAGUUAAAUUGUCUUUAAUGGCAAUAACAUAAACUUUUAUGUAAAAAAACCUAUUGUAUCUACAAAAAAACACCAAAACUAAUGUGUUUACCAAGGUUGCAAGAUAUAAGAGCAAUACACAAAAAUCAAUUGUAUUUCUAUAUACUGUCAAUGAAAAAAAUCAAGAAAUUACAAUUGGAAAAUAUCAUUCACAACAGCAUCAAACAGAAUAAACUAAUUACCAAUAGAUUUACUGAAAGAAGUGCAAGACUUAUUCAAUGGAAACUACAAAACAUUAUUGAAAGAAAUGUAGCCAGGUGCAGUGGCUCACAUCUGUAAUCCCAGCACUUUGGGAGGCCGAGGCAGAUGGAUCACCUGAGGUCAGGAGUUCGAAACCAGCCUGGUCAACAUGGCAAAACCCCGUCUCUACUAAAAAAUACAAAAAUUAGCUGGGAAUGGUGGCGGGCGCCUGUAAUCCCAGCUACUCGGGAGCCUGAGGCAGGGAGAAUUGCUUGAACCCAGGAGGCAAAGGCAGGGAGCCAAGAUCACUCCACUGCACUCCAGCCUGGGCAACAAAGUGAGACUCUGUCUCAAAAAAAAGAGAAAGAAAUGUAAAGACCUAAGUAAAUGAAAAGAUAGCCCAUACUCAUGGACUGGAAUACUUAACAUUGUUUAGAUAGCAGUACUUUCCAACUUGAUCUACAGACUGAAUCCAAUAGCUGUAAAACCUCAGCUGCCAUUUUUAAAGAAUUGGACAAGCUAAUCCUAAAAUUCAUAUGGAAAUGCAAGGAACCCAGAAUAGUGAAAGCAAUCUUGAAAAAAAGUAACUAAGUUGGAGUUACUUACACACUUCCCAAUUUCAAAACUUACUAAAAGCUACAGUAAUCAAGAUAGUGUGGUAUUGGCAUAAAGGCAGAUACAUAGAUCAAUGGAAUAGCACUGAGAAUCUACAAGUAAAUUCUUCCACUUAUGGUCAAUUGAUUUUUGACAAGCAUGCCAAAAAAAUCAGUAGAAAAACAAUAGUCUUUUCUUUUUUUUGAGACCGAGUCUCGCUCUGUUGCCAGUCAGGAGUUGAGUGGCACAAUCUCAGCUCACUGCAACCUCCACCUCCCAGGUUCAAGCGAUUCUCCUGCCUCAGCUUCCCGAGUAGCUGGGACUACAGGCAUGUGCCACCACACCCAGCUAAUUUUUUUGUAUUUUUAGUAGAGAUGGGGUAUCACCAUGUUGGCCGGGAUGGUCUUGAUCUCUUGACCUCAUGAUCUGCCUGCCUUGGCCUCCCUAAGUGCUGGGAUUACAGGCGUGAGUCACCGCGCCUGGCCAACAAUAGUUUUUUCAAUGUAUGUUCCUGGGACAACAUGAUAUCCACAUGCGCAAGAAUGACACCUACAAACAUGAAAUUGAAUCUCACACCACUUACAAAAAUUAACCAAAAACAGAUAAUCAAUUUAUAAGAGUUAAAACAUAAAUCUCUUAGAAAAAAAUCUAGGGGGAUAUCUUUGUGACCUUGUGUUAGGCAAUGAUUUCUUAGAGAGGACACCAUAAGCACAAGCUAUAAAAUAGGAAAGAGAUAAUUAAACUUCAUCAAAAGUAAAAACUUUUGAGCUUUAAAAACUCCCCAAGAAAGUGAAAAGACAACCCACUUGAGUGGGAGAAAAUAUUUGCAAAUUAUAUACCUGAUAAAUGUUUAGUAUCCUUAAUAUAUAAAGAAUUCUUGCAGCUGGGCACGGUAGCUCACGGCUGUAAUCCCAGCACUUUGGGAGGCUGAGGCGGGUGGAUCACCUGAGGUUAGGAGUUUGAGACUAGCCAGGCCAACAUGGUGAAACCCUAUCUUUACUAAAAAUACAAAAAUUAGCUGGGCAUGGUGGCACAUACCUGGAAUCCCAGCUACUUGGGAAGGUGACACAGGAGAAUCACUUGAACCCAGGAGGCAGAGGUUGCAGUGAGCCGAGAUUGUGCCACUGCAUGCCAGCCUGGGUGACAGAGCAAGACUCUGUCUCAAAAAAAAAAAAAAAUUAUUGCAACUCAACUACAACAAAAAGAUGGCCCAAUUAAGAAAUGUGCAGGCCGGGCGCGGUGGCUCACGCCUGUAAUCCCAGCACUUUGGGAGACCGAGGCAGGUGGAUCACCUAAGGUUGGGAGUUCGAGACCAGCCUAACCAACACAGAGAAACCCUGUCUCUACUAAAAAUACAAAAAUUAGCCGGGUGUGGUGGCGCAUGCCUGUAAUCCCAGCUACUUGGGAGGCUGAUGCAAGAGAAUUGCUUGAACUUGGGAGGCGGAAGUUGUGGUGAGUCGAGAUCGUGUCAUUGCACUCCAGCCUGGGCAACAAGAUUGAAACUCUGUCUCAAAAAAAAAAAAAAAAAAAAAAAAAAAAAAAGAAAGAAAAAGAAAAAAAGAAAAGAAAUGGGCAAAGGAUUUUUUUUUACAGCAAAGAAAGCAGCAAAAGUUUAUUAAGCACAGUAUUACACUCUCACAGGGGGAGAGCGGACUGAUCUCAGCAAGAUGAGAUCAGCCAAGAAAUUGGCAAAGGAUUUAAAUAGUCAUGACUACAAACAACAUAUACAGUAAGCCCUUCAUAUCCAUGGGUUCUACAUUUGCAGUUUCAAUUAACAGCAGAUUGAAAAUAUUUGGGGCUGGGCACAGUGGCUCAUGCCUGUAAUCUCAGCACUUUGGGAGGUUGAGGCAGGUGGAUCACUUGAGCUCAAGUGUUUGAGACCAGCCUGGGCAACAAGGCGAGUCUUCGUCUUUCAAAAAAAAAAAAAAAAAAAUUAGCCAGGUGUGGUGGUGCAUGCCUGUAACCCCAGCUGCUCCAGAGGCUGUGGUGGGAGGAUUCCUUGAGCCCAGGAGGUUGAGGCUGCCAUGAGCCAUGAUCAUGCCACUGCACUUCAGCCUGGGUGACAGAGUGAGACCCUGUCUCAAGGGAAAAAAUACAUAUUUGGGAAAAAAUAAAAUAAAGAUAACAUACAACAAUAAAAAAUAAUACAAAUUAAAAAAUACAGUACAACACCUAGUUAGACCAUAUUUACAUUAUGUUAGGUAUUGUAAGUAAUCUAGAGAUAAUCUAAAGUAUAUGGGAUGGGCCUGGUGAGGUGGUUCACACCUGUAAUCCCAGCACUUUGGGAGGCUGAGGCGGGUGGAUCACCUGAGGUGAGGAGUUCAAGACCAGCCUGGCCAACAUGGUAAAACCUGUCUCUACUAAAAAUAUAAAAAUUAGCCAGGCAUGAGGCACUGUGCCCAGACAACAACAUUAUUUUAAUAGCCCAAAGGUGUAAAAAAAGCAAAUGCCUAUCAACCAAUUAAUCUGGAAUGUUAUUUGAAAUAUAAUAAGUGGCAUAUAUUCUAUACGGGAUAUUAUUUGGCCAUAAAAAGGAAUGAAGUGCUGAUACAUAGAACAAGAUGGGUGAAACUUGAAAACGUUAUGCCAAGUGAAAGAAGCCAGUCACAAAGGACCAUCCAUAUAUUAUAUCAUUCCAUUUAUAUGCAAUGUCCAGAUUAGGGAAAUCUUUAGAGAUGGAAAGUAGAUUAGUAGUGGCCUAGGACAGGGAGUGGGGUAGUGGUGAUGGGGUGAAGGCUAAACAGUGUGAGGUUUUUUUUUUUUUUGAGGGUAACAAAAUAUUCUAAAAUGGGUUGUAUUAAUGGAUACAUCAUUGUGAAUAUAUUAGUAGCUAUUAAAUUGUAUACUUCAAAAAAAUUAAAAAUGGGCCAGACAUGGUGGCUCAUGCCUGUAAUCCCAGCAUUUUGAGAAGCAGAUAGGAGAAUCCCUUUUGUCCAGGAGUUUGAGGCUAGCCUGGGCAACAUAGCAAGACCUUGUCUCUACAAAUAAUUUUUAAAAAUUAACUGGGAGUGGUGGCGUGUACCUAUGGUCCCAGCUACUCGUGAGGCUGAGGAGGGAGGAUUGCAUGAGCCCAGGUGUUCAAGGCUGCAGUGAACCAUGAUCAUGCCACUGCACUCCAGCCUCAGCAAUGGAGCAAGACUUCAUCUCAAAAAAAAAUUUUAAUUAAUUAAUUAAAAUUAAAAGUUAUUAGGACAUUUGAAUUUUUCGAAUACUUAUUAAUAACAGUUUGACUUGUUUCGUGAUUGUUCAUAAUUAUUAUAAUACUAUUCUAUUAUUAAAUGGGAGCCUAUUUCUCACCACCAAUCUUUCAAUACAG
rnacentral:lncRNA from 1 species